rnacentral:lncRNA from 1 species
CAUCUCCCAUAAUCCAACGGCAGGAAACUAACCCUCUUUCCCAUAAGACUGUCUCAAAUGACCCCCCCUCCCCCCACGCCUAAACACUCCUCUCAGACCAUCCCUCUUACAUCUCUCUACACCCCACCAUCCUCCACCUUAUUUUGCCGUCGGAAAUCGUCUCACGACGACAAAACACCUCCAUAUAUCCCCAAAUUAUCACCCUUCAAUCCCCAACACCCCCUAAAUCCAAAUCUACCUUCAAUUUUCCCAAAAUCCCCACCGAACUCAAUGAAUUAUAGAUAUGGAAAUCUCGGAAAAAUUAAAAUUUUUGCUCUUUCGUUUGCUUGAUCAUUUCGGCCAGUAUACGUUCAAGACUUCCAUCAAUAGAGAUUUGAUCCGUUUAUCGAUGGUCGAAUCUAGGUCAAAUUGCUGCUGACCGGCCAAUUUCUCCCGGAACCCCUUUCUGCCGACUCCUUUGAGCUCAAUAGGUAUACCCCUUUUUGUCUCUCUUCUCUUUUACUCUAUUAUUUCUUUUUCUUAACCUUGUGUUGCAUUGUCUUGUCCGAAUUUGUUUAGUCAGUUAAGGAUAGUCAUGCAGAAUUAGGAUUUAGAUGAACUAAUAUUUGCAUUCUAGAUUGAUAGUUAAUUACUUAUUUUAAUUAUUUUAAUUGGAAUUCAAAUCCGUUUGUUCAAAUGUCUUAGCUUAGUAUUGGGCCUGUCUUGCUUGACAGGCAAGCCCACUAGAUUAAAGUUCAAGAUUGGGGAGGAUUGAGAGUCUAGGUCUUGAUUUUGGGCAUGUUGUCCACAAGGCCCAGGCAUGUGAAUUUUGGCUAGGUGGUUAAAAACAUGGGUUUUAGGGGGCAUUUAAGGGAUUUAACUUGGGGAAUAAUCUUGUAACUAAUUUAUGUACUUCUAGAAAGGAAAAGAAGGAUCGAGUUGCAAUAAAACAAUGAAGAGGUCGAGGUGAGGAAGAAAAUACAGAAAAGAAAAAGGACUAAAAGAAAGGUAAAUAACAGAAAAACAACGGUAAGAAUCUGCUAUAAGAUAGUAUACUCUCCUCACACUUUUGGUCAUUCAUUCUCAUCUGCAGAUACAGACUCACUCAUCCUCACUCCUACGCAAAAGAGCUCACAGUCCCAAUUAGCUAAAUUAAUUUCUGAAUUCAAAAUUUGAGUUUCAGAUCUGGAAACCAAAAACUCCAAAAAAUACCAAAAACAAAAAACAAAACAAAAGAUUCAAAAAGAGAUUCAACAGCUGUCUUCGAUUUCUGCCUACAACUGCAUAAUUUUUGGCUUCUAAAGAUGGUUUGAUUUGAAGAAGUUGCUUGUGUUUACUGUUGCUGCCACUCUACCGUUAGCUGGGGUUUACCCAUAAGUGUUCUAGACCUUUAUUUGGUUUGAUUUGGCUGUUUAUUUGUAAUUAGGUAUGCUCUAAGUCUCUGUAUGAUCUGAUUUGUUUUUAUAAAUAAGCUAUGAUUGAUUAAUGUCAUAGGUUGGUUGAUUUGGGUGAUUUAGCAUGCUUGGUGCAUUAGUUGUGUUUGCAACAUGUUUACUCUCUUGAAAUCCAUGUUAUAUGUACUGAUUACAGUCAAAUGUGCUUAGAUCUAAUUUUUGAAUAUUAACAAAUGCUCUAUAGUUACUGGUAACUAGAAAUUAGGUUCCUAGAUGUAAGGUGACCUCCACAGGAGUGCAAUGGAGCUGGCCUUGGGCAUUAUUCUCGAAUUAUUACAUGUUUCUAUGUUUAAACCAUUAGCACAAAUAGUCAUUCGUGUAAUAGGGUGAAUCUACGUGUUUGUUUAAAUUUAGCAAUCGCAAGUGUAUUAUGAUUCAGUUUUAAAUAUGAAGGAUGGAAAGGUUUGAAGUGAGGAAAUUUCGGCUCUGUAAUUUUGAUUAGCUAAACUAAUGAGCUACUGUUUCUAAAACUCAAUUGUUGAAGAUGGCUUUUAUUGUGAAUUCAAAUUACGACCUCUGAUGUAAUGAACUGCUACUGUACUCUGAACUUCGAUGAUGAAAUGCUGAUAUUUAGGAAAAGUUUUUCUUAUACUUUCAUUUUCGUGAAUUUGUUGGAUUUGCUUUUGGGCCACUGUAUUUCUUAAAAUUAUUGGGCCUGAAUAUCUGGCCCAUGCGGAAGUUAUCAGGUCUAGGCUCAAUUUGAGACCCAUUUCUAAAAACUUGUAACUUCAUGUGUGUGAAGAUUUGCUCCCUGCCGAAAGGCUUUGGCGCAUUAGGCUUCACCCCAGGCCCAAGUGUGACCCCAUUUUGGUCCUGUUAGAGGUCUUAUGGUAAGCCUUCAAUCGCAUGCAUUUCAUAAUAUUGACAAGUAAUCAGUGUAGCACUGGGCCAAUCUAGCUAAAACGUUAAUUGAGCUUCUAGAAUACAAUCACCACUAUUUUAAGUAACAAAAUAUAUGGCUAUCCCAACAAACAAAUUCCAUAAUUUUGGACCUUCACAUGUAAUCUUAUACUAUUGAUACGUAAUUAAAUCUUAUGAAAAUGCGUAGUUGCUCUUAGGCAUGACUAAUAAUAAAUUAUCGUAACUAUGGGUACAGUUCCGGUGGCAUAGUCAUGAUAUGUAACCCCAAUUUUAAGUGCACGUUCAUGUGACUUGACCCCAACUUUAAAUAAUAAUAAAAUAAACAUAUUGUAAAUCAUGGGUAAGUUUCACGUGGUGUGAUUUGCAAUAUGUACAAAAAUAACAAGUGCGCGACAUCGUAACUUGUUUAAAGAAAUUUCAUAAUUGUUUAAAAUAAUUAAAAGCGAUAAAAGGUAAAAGCGUACGUAGGUUUAAAAUAUGCAAUACACAGAAAAUUAAGCCGAGUGUAGCUGUAAAGUGACCGUGCUAAAAUCACGGAAUCCGCGAGUGCCUCACACCUCCUCCCGGGUUAAUAGAAUUCCUUACCCAAUCUUCUAUGUUUCGCAGACUUAAACAGAUUCAAAACUUCCUUGAAUUGGAAUUUAAAAUAAAUCGAUAACUUGGGACACCUUAAUAAUUUAUUCAAUGUGGUCAAUUUUUUAAAAGUAUAAAUAAAUACUUCCUUUUCAAUAGUAUCACUUAAAGUGGAAAAAUUCCUUUCCCCGUAAAAAGGAGAUGUGACAGCUCUAACCCCAACUGGAUCCUAAUAUCCCAUCCUUCACUUAAACUAUAUUUGUUAGCUCCCAUAGGGCAUAACUGAGAUGGAUGUAGCCAAUUGUAUAUAACUCUGUUACUGUUGAAGGUAACUCAGAAUGCAUAUAUUUCUUUGCUUGAAUUGUAAAUACUGAUAUCUCCACUUACUGGGUGCCUCAUACCCUCCUUCACCUUGCUUCUAUUACCUAUUAAAACUUAUACUGUUACCUUCUGAUAGUCCCAUGGCCUGCUAUUCACGGGGUGUGUUUGAUAUUCCCAUCUUAGGGUUUUAAGUUGGAAAUAUGCACAUAUGGUAUGCACGAUCUGAUAGGGCCUCAAACAAGGCCAUAUCGUCAAGAACUCUCUCUUUAUUAGUGCCCUUACCAGUUGCUGUAUUAGCCCUCUUGCUAGCUGUAAUCUUCCUAAUUGCAAACAUCUCUGUAUCAUUAGCAAACAUAAGUCCUGACUCAAACUAUUAUGACUCAGCUCCGUAGCACGAUUUGGAUUUAAAAGAAGGGUAACAAACUCCUAAAAUGCCUUGUAGCUUCCUGUUUAUAUAAUGUGGUGCACAACACAUCUAUAAACAAGGCUCUACUAGAGAUGACUUGUAGACUCCUUAGGAUAGAACUGCUCUGAUACUAAGUUUGUCACACCCCAAACCUGGGGAGGCGUGGCCGGCACCCGGUGCCAUACUUUCCCCGAGCAUAUCACUCUAUAACUGUGAACUAUAGAGGGGUAACCCUCAACUUAGGCCAACGAGGCCUACCUGCAAGCUGACAAUGCCAAUCAAGGCCAACAAGGCCAUAUUCCGAAUCAUCUAAAAAUAACAUCUCUUCCAUCUGAGGGGUAAGAAUACCCAAAAGCUCAUAUACAUAACUGUGUAGGCCGACGAGGCCGCCAUGAACGUCUACAACCAACAAUACAAAACUGAACAUGUACAUAGGGCUGGCAAGGCCACAAUACUGAUAUAAAAAAUAUAUAGGACUCAUUUACAAGCCUCUAGAGAUAACUGAACUGUAUCUUGGUGGGGACAGUGCAUCGACCUACCCAUCAAACCUGUAUAUAUAGAAUGGAUUCUAAGGUCUAGACCUGGUAACUCCGGGGAAGUGGAGCUUACAAACCAAGCUGAUGUUUGGUUCUGUCUACUAGGAAGGUCUAUACGGCUGUCUAUCAUGACCUGCAGGCAUGAAAUACAACAUCCCCGGAUAAAAAGAGAUCAGUAUGAAAUAAUGCACCCAGUAUGUAAGGCAAUAGAAUAAAUAAAAGUUGAGACUAAACUGAUAAUAUAAUAAUUGAAAGUAACUGGGAGUCAAAUAUGAUAUGAAGAUAUGCUAACCUGCUGAUAUCGACUCAACUCUAUUAAUAUAGUAAAUAAAAUAGUUGUCCGGCCCUAUAAGGCUCGGUACGUGUAACUACUCUACCAUAGUAGGCUCGCUCAUAGGCGCUAGCCCAUACUAGGGUCGAUAUCUCGGUCAUUCUAGGCUCGCUCAUAGGUGCUCGGCCAUAGUAGCUCGAAUGGCAAGUUAUAUACCGAGCCUACUAUGGCCGAGUGCCUUUGAGCGAGCCCAGAAUGUAUAGACCCUCUUCUCUCUUGACUGGAAGAAGACAAUACUUAACUGAAUGUAAAAUCCCGAUAAGGGAGAAUACUGUAACUUAUGGGACUAGGAUAAUGUACAUAAAUUCAGAAAUAUGAACUUCUCUUUAUGUCUCUGUCACGACCCUAAUUUCCCAUCGUAAGAUGUCGUGAUGGUAUUUAGUCUCUAUGACUAGGUAAGCCUAACAGAUAAUAAUAACUUGGCAGAAAUAAUUAUCAAAUACUCAAACAAAACUGAAUAACUGAUAUAACCUUCCGAAAAAUAGAAUCUCAUCAAUACACUCCCUGUCUGGAAGAAAAUACAACAGUAAACAAGAAUGAAAGGGAAGGUGACUCUGAGGCAUGCAGACGUGGAGCAGGUAUACCUUGAAGUCUCCAAAGCAGCAACUCCAAUUAACUCUAGCGGUCGGCACGGGCACACGUACCUGGAUCUACACAAAAUUUGUGUAGAAGUGUAGCAUGAGUACACCAUAACGGUACCCAGUAAGUAUCAAGCCUAACCUUGAUAGAGUAGUGACAGGUCAAGACACCUACUAGGAAGUAAAUAAACAGUAUAAAAAAUUAAUUAGGAUAAAUAAUGGAAAAUGGAGAAAUAACUGAUACCGGACAUUAGACAUGGAAGUAACAUAAAAGAAGCAGCUAAAGAGAAUCACAAUGAUCAUAUACAGAGAACAACUGCUAAACAAGGAAGAAAAAAAAAGUAAUGUUCCUACCAAAACUACUUGCGAAAUGAGAUAAACAACAAGAAUCACAACGAGAUACCGCCUCGUGUACAAUAAGAAUCACUACCGAGGUACCGCCUCGUAUAAAUCAAGAAUCACAACUGAGGAACCACCUUAUAUUCACAUUUCUCAAUUUCAAUCACAAUCUUUCCUUAUUCCGCUGCGAGAGCCUUAUAUUUGAAAUGGGUUUUGAAAAAUAAUAUUUCCAACAUAGCUACACGCACUUUAGCCCACCUUAUGAUGCCGCGUGACUUCACGUAGUUCUCCUACAAGCAACACGCACAUAAGUACCACCUUAUACUGCCGCAUGCAUAUUAACCCCGAUCCUUAUACCGCUGUAUGCUUGUCAAUAUCACAUCACAAUAAUAACUCACACCACAAGUGCCCAUAUAUCACAACUUGCCAACAAUCAACAAUAUUAAUGCCUCCACUAUAAUAGCCCAUGGCUCCACCACAGCGGGUACAAGAAUAUCAACUAUAACAAUGAAUGUUAAAUUCUCAACAAGGAAGAUGUUUCAACAACAACAACAAUUUUGCCUCAACGUGAUAACGGCCUUCACAACUUCAACACCAAUAACUCAACAAUGAGAGAUAAUAUAUAACCAAGAAAUUAAAUAAUAAUAACUCACAAUGAAAAAGAUAACAUGUGACAAUGACUUCACUUAAUGGAAGUCAACAAGGAAAGAGAUAACAUGAAUAAUAACUUCAAGUAUGAUAAUCAAUAAUGAAAGAGAUAUCGCAGACAAUAACUUCAAAUAAUGAUAAUCAACAAUGAAAGAGGUAGCGUGUAGCAAUAAUAGAGGCAAAAGUUCAACUAAAGCAUGAGAGCAAUUUAUCACUUAGAAUGUAGAACGAGUGUUAACGAAAAUAUUUAAGGCAUGUAAGGAUAGAAUAACACAAGUAAGAAUAUAUUGACUAUGAGAAUUUAGAACAUGAUAUGACAAUUAAAUUAAAGCACAGAAAGAGUCUACGUAGCCUAAACCGGUCAAAUACUAUGUACAACCCGUAUACCCACUCGUCACCUUGCGUACACGGCUUUCACAUAACAUAAAUGAAUCAAUCAAUACCAAUCCUAAGGGGUAGUUCUGCCCCCCACCCCACCCCACCCACAAUGUUAGGCAAGACACUUACCUCAACUAGGCUAAUUCAACACUUGGAAAUAGCUUUUCCCUUAAAAUUCGCCUCCACACGGCUCAAAUCUAAUCCAAAUCGAUUUAAUAUCAUCAAACAAUGCUAGGAAAAUCAAUUACAAUAGAUAAAGCUAAGAUCUUUAUACUUUUCCUAAAGGAUCAACAAAAGUCAAUCCGGGGCCCUCCCGGUCGAAACUCGGGUCCAAUGGUAGAUUCCGUCUACCCAUGACCCCACGAGUUCAUAUAUGUGAUAAGUUUCAAAAUCCAAAUCUAAAUAGACUCUCAAAACUCAAUUUCUUAUUUUUCAAAAACAUGACAAAGUUUUAAAAAAAUUUCACUUUGAUUCACAUGAUUUUGAUGUAAAGAUCUGUUGAUGGAAUAUGAUUAGAAAUAGAUUAGAAUUACUUACCCAAGGUUUGUAGGUAAAAAUUCCCUCUCCAAAUCGCCUCCUACCUAGUCUAGGGAUCAAAAAUGAGAGAAUGAGUUCAAAAAUCCCAUCUCCCAAUCCUUUAACCAGCUGCAGAUGUCGCAUUUGAGAUGCGAACCCUCGCAAUUGCGGACCAGUGCUAGCAUUUACGAACCAUGACAACCUAAGUCAUCAACGCAUCUGCGAAGCUGGGUACUUUGCAAAAGCGAACAAAAUGUUCGCAAUUGCAAACAUGGUCCAAGUUCUGUUGUCUUUGCAAAUGCGAAGGGGAAGUCGCAUUUGCGACAGCUGACCCCCUACUAUCACCUUCGCAAUUGCAAAGCUGGUGCUCGCAAUUACGACAUCAGAGCACCAGCACACCAGCAAUUCAUUUUAAGUUGAAAACAAUUUCGAUACAUGUCUGGAACUCAUCUGAUCCCUCGGAGCUCCAAACCAAACAUCCACACAAGUCUGAAAAUAUCAUACAAACUCGAUCACGUGAUCAAAACACAAAAACAAUAUCUAAAACUACAAAUCGAACACUAAAACGAAUGAAUUUCAAAGAAAUUUUCAAGAACUUCUAGAAUUACAACUAAACGUCCCAAUCCUAUCAAAUCAACUUCAAAUGACACUAAAUUUUGCAGACAAGUUCUCAAUACCAUAACAGACCUAUUCCAGGUCCCAAAAUCAAAUUCUAAGCUCGAUAGCUAAAAGUCAACCCAUGGUCAAACUUUUCAACUUCAAAUUACCAUGUUUCGGGAAAUCUACACAAAUCCACCUACGGACUUCCGAAAUCAUUUUCGGGCAUACGCCCAAGUCCGAAAUCAUGACACGAAGCUAUCGGAGCCAUCAAAACACUGUUCUGGGAUCGUUUUCACAAAAGUCAAAGUUUGGUCAUCAUUUUCUAAUUUAAACCUCUAAGUCAAGAAUCAAGGGUCCAAAUCAACUUGAAAGGUCCCCAGAAUAAAACUAACUGAACUAAGAAGUCAUAAAAUCAUAAACACAUAUGUAUGAAGCAUCAAAAGGGGAAACGAGGCACAAUUAUACAAAAUGACCGAUUAGUUCGUUACAUUCUCCCCCUCUUAAAGCAAACGUUGGUCCUCGAACAUGCAUAAGGACAUACCCGAAGUGGUGAAUAGAUGAGGAUAGCGACUCCACAUGUCGUGCCCGGUUUCCCAGGUCGCCUCCUCGACCGGAUGACCCCUCUUUGAUACCUAUGCAUAAGCAAUACUCUUUGAUCUCAACUUCUAGACCUGUCAGUCCAAGAUAGCCACCGGCUCCUCAAUAUAGGUCAAAUCCUCGUCCAAUUGGACUGUACUGAAGUGUAGAACAUGAUACAGAUCACUGUAAUACUUCCGAAGCAUAGAUACAUAGAACACCGGAUGAACCACAGAUAAACUAGGUGGCAAUGCUAGCUUGUAGGACACCUCAUCGAUCUGCUCAAGGAUCUCAAAAGGUCCGAUAUACCUAGGGCUCAACUUGUCCUUCUUCCCGAAUCUCAUCACACCCUUCAUGGGUGAAGCCCGGAGCAAGACUCGCUCUCCAACAAUGAAUGCAACAUUGCGAACCUUCUGAUCCUCAUAACUCUUCUAUCUAGAUUGGGUUGUACGAAGCCAGUCCUGGAUCAUCUUGACCUUCUCCAAGGUAUCUCGAAUCAAAUCUAUACCUAAUUACUUAGACUCUCCCGACUCAAACCACCCAACAAGAGAACGACACCGUCUCCUAUAUAGGGCCUCGUAAGGAGCCAUCUGAAUACUCGAUUGGUAGCUGUUGUUGUAGGCAAACUCUAUAAGUGGCAAGAACUGAUCCCAAGCCCCCCUAGAAAUCCAUAGCACAGGUGCAAAGCAUAUCCUCCGAUAUCUAAAUAGUGCACUCGGACUGUCCGUCCGUCUGAGGGUGAAAUGAUGUACUCAACUCAACCCGUGUGCCUAUCUCAUGUUGUACAACUCUCUAUAAAUGUGAUGUGAACUACGUACCCUGAUCAGAGACGAUGGAUACCGAUAUUCCAUGAAGUCAGACAAUCUCACAGAUAUAAACCUGAGCGAGCUGCUCUGAAGAAUAGGUAGUCACUACCGGAAUGAAAUGAGCUGACUUGGUCAACUUGCCCACAAUCACCCAUACCGCGUCAAAUUUCUUCUGAGUUCGUGGGAGCCCAACAACUAAGUCCAUGGUCUCAUGCUCCCAUUUCCACUUGGGUAUCUCGAGUCGCUGAAGCAAACCACCCGACUUUUGAUGCUCAAACUUCACCAGCUGACAAUUUAGGCACUGAGCUACAUACUCCGCUAUGUCUUUCUUCAUCCUCCUCAACCAAUAGUGCUACCUCAAAUCCUAAUACUUCUUAGAGGAGCCCGGAUGAAUGGAGAACCGCGAACUGUGGGCCUCCUGAAGAAUCAACUAACGCAACCCAACAACAUUGGGCACACAUAACCGGCCUUACAUCCGUAACACAAUGUCAUCUCCAAUUGUCACCUCCUUGGCAUCGCCGUGCUGAACCGUGUCCUUAAGGACAAGAAAAUGGGGGUCGUCAUACUGACACUCUUUGAUAUGAUCAUAUAGAGAAUACCGAGAAACCAUGCAGGCAAGAACUCGACUUGGCUCUAAAACAUCCAAUCUAAUAAUGUGUUGGCUAAGUCCUGAACAUCCAAUGCUAAUGGCCUCUCUGCUACCGGUAGAUAUGCUAAACAACCCAAACUCUCCGCCUUUUGACUCAAGGCAUCGGCCACCACAUUAGCCUUUCCGGGAUGAUAUAGGAUGGUGGUAUCAUAGUCCUUAAGCAACUCUAACCACCUCUGCUACCGCAAGUUAAGAUCUUUCUGUUUGAAUAGUUGUUGUAGACUCUGGUGGUCGGUAAAGACCUCACAAGGGACAUCGUACAAAUAGUGCUGCCAAAUAUUCAACGAAUGAAUAAUGGCUGCCAAUUACAAGUCGUGGACCAGAUAAUUCUUCUCAUGGGUCUUAAGCUGUCUAGACGCAUAGGCAAUCACCAUACCGUAUUGCAUCAACACCAUUCCAAGGCCAACACGUGACGCAUCACAAUACAUAACAUAAGACCUUGAACCCGUAGACAACACCAACAUUAGGGCUACAGUCAAAGCAUUCUUAAGUUUUUGAAAGCUCACCUCACACUCCUCGGACCAUCUGAAAGGAGCACCCUUUUUGGGUCCAUCUGAUCAUAGGUGCAGCAAUAGAUGAGAAACCCUUUACAAAGCGAUGAUAAUACCCUACAAAACCAAGGAAACUCCUGUCACGCCCCAACCUUGGGAAGCGUGUCCGGCGUUCAACCGAGUGAACCCGGUCGAGCAAGCGAGUUAGAUACUUUCUACCUAACUCACCCAUGACCAAGAGAAGACAUGAUUUCAUUAAUUAGACAGUAGGGAGNNNNNNNNNNNNNNNNNNNNNNNNNNNNNNNNNGUUUGACUUUUCUAGCACCCAUGUACAACUGACAUAUUGUGUACGGAGCCUCUAAAAGAUACAAAAGAGUGUUAUGAUAGUGCCAGUGACAAGGCUCUAGCUAUACCUCAAAACGUGAUAAUAAUAUGAACAAAAGAUACAACACAUGACCUUGGGAUGAAAUGGGGCUCACCAAGUCUGUUGGAAAAAAGAUGUACCACUAUCGCUGAUCAACACUGCCUGCUAUAGAACCAACCUACAUCCAUUUAAAGAUGCAGCGCCCCCAGCAAAAGGGACGUUAGUACUGUCGAAUAGUACUAGUAUGUAAAACUAAACACUGUAUUCUUACACGGAGUCUGAUCACAACCGAUCGGCUAGGUCAUCUCAUUUAAGACAUCAACCAUAACCACAAUUUCAUUAUAAUUGCAAGCACAGUGACCACCAUGUGUACGACAUGGCGUCCGAUCACGACCCGAUCGGCUAGGCCGUCUCACCCAAGACAUUACCUUUUUCAGUCAAUCAUCUCACAUCAUACUUCUUUCAUAUCCUUUUAAUUCUUUGGAACUAGUGGCCAUAAUUAUAAGGUCAUUCUUGGCACUUGGCCGUAUUUCAUAAUUCCAGUUACCCUUAAAGACACAAACAUAUUAGGAAUAGCCGAUUCUAUAAUGAUUAAUUUGGGACUUACACUAAUUACAUGAAUACCAUGUGAUUCGAUUCUAAGAAGAAGGAGGUUUAGCCACCAUACCUCAAUCGAGCUUCCUUAAACUCUAAAAGGAUCUGGAAUUCUUAGCAACUUCAAUCUAUUUUAGAAAUAUAACAAAUUGAACCAAAUAUUAGGAGGAUGAUCAUGGUUCUAGAUCAUUUGAGCAUUUUAUCAAACACUAGGUGUGCAUUAAGGUUUCAAAGUCCUUUUAUGGAGGAUUCCAUCAUCCCACAACCCACUCUUUACCAUUUUUAGCUCACAACCUUCCCACAUUCUUUGAUAACACUUGCAUCCAAGAUAACAACCCCCACAUCCAAUAAUUGUCUUUCUAAUUACCCCCCUUUUAGUAGAUUUUCGAAAUUAAGAGCUAGGGCAUAGAUUCUUACCUUUAGGAUGAAGACUUAUUUGUUAAUCUUCAAAGAUUGAGCAAGAAUUGUUGGAUAUUAGGUUGAAGGUU